rnacentral:rRNA from 1 species
AUUGAACGCUGGCGGCAUGCUUUACACAUGCAAGUCGAACGGUAACAGGUCUUCGGAUGCUGACGAGUGGCGAACGGGUGAGUAAUGUAUCGGAACGUGCCCAGUAGUGGGGGAUAACUACUCGAAAGAGUGGCUAAUACCGCAUGAGAACUGAGGUUGAAAGCGGGGGACCUUCGGGCCUCGCGCUACUGGAGCGGCCGAUAUCAGAUUAGGUAGUUGGUGGGGUAAAGGCCUACCAAGCCGACGAUCUGUAGCUGGUCUGAGAGGACGACCAGCCACACUGGGACUGAGACACGGCCCAGACUCCUACGGGAGGCAGCAGUGGGGAAUUUUGGACAAUGGACGCAAGUCUGAUCCAGCAAUGCCGCGUGCAGGACGAAGGCCUUCGGGUUGUAAACUGCUUUUGUACAGAACGAAAGGGCUCUGGUUAAUACCUGGGGCAGAUGACGGUACUGUAAGAAUAAGCACCGGCUAACUACGUG